CCUACGGGUGGCUGCAGUGAGGAAUAUUGGUCAAUGGACGAGAGUCUGAACCAGCCAAGUAGCGUGAAGGAUGACUGCCCUAUGGGUUGUAAACCUCUUUUAUAAGGGAAUAAUAAGUGCUACGUGUAGCAUGUUGUAUGUACCUUAAGAAAAAGCAUCGGCUAACUCCGUGCCAGCAGCCGCGGUAAUACGGAGGAUCCGAUGGUUAUCCGGAUUUAUUGGGUUUAAAGGGUGCGAAGUGGGUUGUUUAAGUUAGUGUGUAAACUUGUGGGCUUAACCUUGAAUUGCAGUUGAUACUGGCAGUCUUGAGUACAGUAGAGGUAGGCGGAAUAAGUGGAGUAGCGGUGAAAUGCUUAGAUAUAACUAAGAACUCCGAUAGCGAAGGCAGCUUACUAGACUGCAACUGACACUGAGGCACGAGAGUGUGGGUAUCAAACAGGAUUAGAUACCCUUGUAGUC
rnacentral:rRNA from 1 species